rnacentral:rRNA from 1 species
UACGUAGGGUGCGAGCGUUAAUCGGAAUUACUGGGCGUAAAGCGUGCGCAGGCGGUUUGUUAAGUCUGCUGUGAAAGCCCCGGGCUCAACCUGGGAAUGGCAGUGGAAACUAGCAAGCUAGAGUGUGUCAGAGGGGGGUGGAAUUCCACGUGUAGCAGUGAAAUGCGUAGAGAUGUGGAGGAACACCAAUGGCGAAGGCAGCCCCCUGGGAUAACACUGACGCUCAGGCACGAAAGCGUGGGGAGCAAACAGG